GUCACUAUUACAUACUGAAUCAGAAUCAGGCAUUAAUCUAAGACACUAAGACAUUUCAGUGUUAGGACCGGUGUUUGUCUGAGGAAAGACGAGAAACGCUUUUAGCGCUGAAGCGCUGCAGUCGGGAUUUAAUGAGGAGAUGCGGUGCCAGUUUUACGAUUGAAGGUGUGGGCACAGCAGGACUUCAUUGACACCUGCACUUUCACUUAUUGGGCGUGCUCGUUUUUGAGUCUCUGCUCUUGCAUCCCUG
rnacentral:lncRNA from 1 species